ACGGAAGGCAGCAGUGGGGAAUAUUGGGCAAUGGGGGAAACCCUGACCCAGCAACGCCGCGUGAAGGAAGAAGGCUUUCGGGUUGUAAACUUCUUUUACCAGGGACGAAGACGUGACGGUACCUGGAGAAAAAGCCACGGCUAACUACGUGCCAGCAGCCGCGGUAAUACGUAGGUGGCAAGCGUUAUCCGGAUUUACUGGGUGUAAAGGGAGCGUAGACGGCUUUGCAAGUCUGAUGUGAAAGCCCGGGGCUCAACCCCGGCACUGCAUUGGAAACUGUAGAGCUAGAGUGCAGGAGAGGUAAGUGGAAUUCCUAGUGUAGCGGUGAAAUGCGUAGAUAUUAGGAGGAACACCAGUGGCGAAGGCGGCUUACUGGACUGUAACUGACGUUGAGGCUCGAAAGCGUGGGGAGCAAACAGGAUUAGAUACCCUGGUA
rnacentral:rRNA from 1 species